ACUAUUCAUAGUGGGUCCCACAGUGGGGUCCGCAAGGGUCCCACAGUAGGGUCCACAUGGGUCCCACAGCGGGGUCCACCCCAUGGGUUCCACAUGUUGAUGCAGUAGUGACACAUUGAUGACUUAAGCAAAUUACUAUGCUUGAUAUUUUGAAUAUGUUAUUAUUCCACUAUGCUUAUUAUUUUUAAUAUUUUAUUAGAAUAGUAUCCCAAGUUUUUCCUAUAAAUAGCCCUUCCAAAACUCAUCUUGAAAUCACAAAAACAUCAUUUUCCUUUCUCUUACUAUACCCAAAAAUCUUCUUAACAUCCUUCUAAAGUUCUAAACCUCGGAGAUCUAGGCGAAGUUCUGUCCGUAACGCUAGCCUACGAAAACCUUUUAGGAAGCUAACAAUUUCGGUUGUUUUAUCAAGACGCAAGGUAAGAGGCCCCAAAUAUAAAUCGUUGAUGAGUAUACGUGGAGCCAACAUGACUGUACAUAUGGGGCUGACCUGAAGGGAGUGGAGUUCUGCUAUGCUAUUUUAUAAAUAAACAAGAAACUUGGUUUUAUUAUAUUUCAUUAAAAGUAUCUUGUGAACUUUAUCAUUUACUUAAAGCUUUAAAAGUAUUUCAUGAACUUUGUAAUUUACAUAAAGCUUUUCGAUUUAUCAGUUGGAUACAUUUUUAUUUCUACGUUAAGGUGUAGUAACGCCACGAAAAUGAUUUAUAAAAGUAUUAAGAUUUGUAUGUAAGAUAAAGUUUUUAUUUAGUUGUGAGUAUUGUGUGGUUUGAGGUUAUAAACAUUAUUUAUGUAUUGUUUAAUAAAGUUUUUGUAAAUUCAGAA